ACAGAACCAGCAGGACUGUGAAGACUUUUGGCUGCAGUUUCCACUGGGCUGUGAUAGUUAACAGCUCAAAAAAAAACCUGAGGAUAUAAAAUCAAAAACCGUGUCUUCCAAAAGUCUGCCUUCUGGUGCCUUUGUAAGAACCAUUAUGGAGCAGCUGGCCCUGGUUUCUCUAAGCAGAGGAUUUGAGCAGUUGAAAGAGGUAAAUUAGUGCAGAAUACAGCUCGAUGGAAAGAAAAUACAUAGGAUGAGAAGAGACUGAAGCAUAAAUGGUAAAACAUCAUGGGGUCCUCUCAGAA
rnacentral:lncRNA from 1 species